GACGAACGCUGGCGGCGUGCUUAACACAUGCAAGUCGAACGGUGAAGCGCCUUCCUUUUUGGUGGGUGUGGAUGAGUGGCGAACGGGUGAGUAACACGUGAGUAACCUGCCCCCUUCUUCUGGAUAACCGCAUGAAAGUGUGGCUAAUACGGGAUAUUCUGGGUCUGUCGCAUGAUGGGUCUGGGAAAGAUAUUGUUUCGGUGGGGGAUGGGCUCGCGGCCUAUCAGCUUGUUGGUGGGGUGAUGGCCUACCAAGGCGGUGACGGGUAGCCGGCCUGAGAGGGUGGACGACCACGCUGGGGAGGAGACACGGCCAAGCCUCCUACGGGAGGCAGCAGUGAGGAAUAGUGCACGAUGGGCGGAAGCCUGAUGCAGCGACGCCGCGUGAGGGAUGGAGGCCUGCGGGUUGUGAACCUCUUUCGCCAGUGAAGCAGGCCUGCCUCGUUUGUGGGUGGGUUGACGGUAGCUGGAGAAGAAGCGCCGGCUAACUACGUG
rnacentral:rRNA from 1 species